AUUGAACGCUGGCGGCAGGCCUAACACAUGCAAGUCGAACGGUAACAGGAAGCAGCUUGCUGCUUCGCUGACGAUUUGCGUACUGGUGUUUCAUGUCUGGGAAGCUCCCUGAUGUUUGGGGAUAACUACUGGAAACGGUAGCUAAUCCCGCAUAAUGUCGCAAGUCCAACGAGUAGGACCUUUGUGCCUCUUGCCAUCGGUUGUGCUCAGAUUGGAUUUGCUUGUUGGUGGGGUAAUGGCUCACCUAGGCGCCGAUCCCUAGCUGGUCUGAGAGGUUGACCGGACACAGUGGAAAAGAGACACGGGGCAGACUCCUAGGGGAGGCAGCAGUGGGGAAUAUUAAAAAAGGGGGGAAAGCCUGAUGCAGCAAUGAAGCGUGUAUGAAAAAGGCCUUCGUGUUGUAAAGUACUGUCAGCGGGGAGGAAGGGAUUAAAGGUGAUAUGGGUAAAGAUUGAAGAUACCCGCAGAAGAAGCACCGGCUAACUGCGUG
rnacentral:rRNA from 1 species